rnacentral:rRNA from 1 species
AUUGAACGCUGGCGGCAUGCUUUACACAUGCAAGUCGAACGGUAACAGGCCUUCGGGUGCUGACGAGUGGCGGACGGGUGAGUAAUGCAUCGGAACGUGCCCAGAGGUGGGGGAUAACGCAGCGAAAGCUGUGCUAAUACCGCAUGUGAUCUGAGGAUGAACUCGGGGGACCGGGCAGCAAUGUUUGGCCUCGCGCCUUUGGACCGGCCGAUGUCCGAUUAGGUAGUUGGUGGGGUAAAGGCCUACCAAGCCGACGAUCUGUAGCUGGUCUGAGAGGACGACAAGCCACACUGGGACUGAGACACGGCCCAGACUCCUACGGGAGGCAGCAGUGGGGAAUUUUGGACAAUGGGCGCGAGCCUGAUCCAGCAAUGCCGCGUGCGGGAAGAAGGCCUUCGGGUUGUAAACCGCUUUUGUACGGAACGAAAAGGCUCUGGCUAAUACCUGGGGUUGAUGACGGUACCGUAAGAAUAAGCACCGGCUAACUACGUG